AUCUGGACGGCGGAAUUCAGGAUGAUUGUGUGCACGCGUACGCGCGUGCACACUGGUCGUUUGAUAUUUCCGUCGUCGUCGAAAGACGCAGACGUCGCGACCUGUUCGUCGUCGGUCCCUGUUCGAAGGAGCCGCGGUCGAGUUCGCUGUGCGGGCGCGUUCACGCGUGGUCGCACGGUGAAGCCGCGUGUCUCUGGCCGAUCGACGGACAGUAUGUUCAGAAAGAAGGUGUCCGUUGUGCCGCGUGUUGUACGCGGGUGAACGGUACCGGUCGGCGACGAAUUCUUCGGGCCUCUUUCCGACCCGUCUUGAAACACGGACCAAGGAGUCUAACGUGCGCGCGAGUCGCGGGGCUACACAGUGAAACCCGUGCGCGUUUGUCGCGCUAGAAGGCGUAAUGAAAGUAAAUUGGGAAGAUGAUGCUCCGAGUACACGUUCCGCGAUCAUCGGUAUCUGCGGCCGGACAUCCGCAUUCCCGGGGCGUCUCAACAGCCCAUCGUGAAUACGUAGCGGUCGUCUUUCGAGGCGGCCGUCGGUCACGUUGAGCCGA
rnacentral:rRNA from 1 species